rnacentral:rRNA from 1 species
AUUGAACGCUGGCGGCAUGCUUUACACAUGCAAGUCGAACGGCAGCACGGGUGCUUGCACCUGGUGGCGAGUGGCGGACGGGUGAGUAAUACAUCGGAACGUAUCCUGAAGUGGGGGAUAACGCAUCGAAAGAUGUGCUAAUACCGCAUAUACUCUGAGGAGGAAAGUAGGGGAUCGAAAGACCUUAUGCUUUUGGAGCGGCCGAUGUCUGAUUAGCUAGUUGGUAAGGUAAUGGCUUACCAAGGCAACGAUCAGUAGUUGGUCUGAGAGGACGACCAGCCACACUGGGACUGAGACACGGCCCAGACUCCUACGGGAGGCAGCAGUGGGGAAUUUUGGACAAUGGGCGCAAGCCUGAUCCAGCAAUGCCGCGUGAGUGAAGAAGGCCUCGGUUGGUAAAGG